GACGAACGCUGGCGGCGUGCCUAAUACAUGCAAGUCGAGCGGAACUGGGGGAGCUUGCUCCUUCCAGUUUAGCGGCGGACGGGUGAGUAACACGUGGGCAACCUGCCCUGCAGAUCGGGAUAACUCCGGGAAACCGGUGCUAAUACCGAAUAGUUUGGCGCCUCUCCUGAGGCGCUACGGAAAGACGGUUUCGGCUGUCACUGCAGGAUGGGCCCGCGGCGCAUUAGCUAGUUGGUGGGGUAACGGCCCACCAAGGCGACCGAUGCGAAGCCGACCUGAGAGGGUGACCGGCCACACUGGGACUGAGACACGGCCCAGACUCCUACGGGAGGCAGCAGUAGGGAAUCUUCCGCAAUGGACGCAAGUCUGACGGAGCAACGCCGCGUGAGUGACGAAGGUUUUCGGAUCGUAAAACUCUGUUGUGAGGGAAGAACACGUACCAACUAACUAUUGGUACCUUGACGGUACCUCACCAGAAAGCCACGGCUAACUACGUGCCAGCCGCCGCAGUAA
rnacentral:rRNA from 1 species